rnacentral:rRNA from 1 species
AGAGUUUGAUCAUGGCUCAGAAUCAACGCUGGCGGCGUGCCUAACACAUGCAAGUCGAGCGAGAAAGUGGAGCAAUCCAUGAGUAAAGCGGCGCACGGGUAAGUAACACGUGACUAACCUACCCUCGAGUGGGGAAUAACCUGGGGAAACUCGGGCUAAUACCGCAUAACACCUACGGGUCAAAGGAGCAAUCCGCUUGA